AUUAUACUAUUUCUGCUCAUAAUAAUUAAAUAGCUGCAUUUUAUGUACUAAGGUAGCACAAUCAAUUGUUCUCUAAUUAAGGAAUAGAAUGAACGAAAAAACGAAUUAAUACAUCAUCCUUAUAUAAACAAAAAUAAACUAAAAUUAAGGUAAAAAUUCCUUACUAAAAAAGAAAGACGACAAGACCCUAAUAAACUUAAUUAAAAAAAUUUGGCUGGGGCAGCAAAAUUACAAAAUCUAAUAAAUAACACAUUAAUAAAAUAAAUUAAAAAUUAAAUAAUUAAAAAGUUACUAUAGGGAUAACAGCAUAAUUAUUCUUAAGAGCACUUAUCCAAAGAAUAGCUUAUGACCUCGAUGUUGAAUUAUUUUAUCAAAAAUAAGCAAAUUUAUUUAAAUGAAGGUCUGUUCGACCACAAAAAAUACAUGAUCUGAGUUCAAACCGGA
rnacentral:rRNA from 1 species